rnacentral:rRNA from 1 species
UACGGGAGGCAGCAGCGGGGAAUAUUGCACAAUGGGCGCAAGCCUGAUGCAGCCAUGCCGCGUGUAUGAAGAAGGCCUUCGGGUUGUAAAGUACUUUCAGCGGGGAGGAAGGCGAUGCGGUUAAUAACCGCGUCGAUUGACGUUACCCGCAGAAGAAGCACCGGCUAACUCCGUGCCAGCAGCCGCGGUAAUACGGAGGGUGCAAGCGUUAAUCGGAAUUACUGGGCGUAAAGCGCACGCAGGCGGUCUGUUAAGUCAGAUGUGAAAUCCCCGGGCUUAACCUGGGAACUGCAUUUUGAAACUGGCAGGCUUGAGUCUUGUAGAGGGGGUAGAAUUCCAGGUGUAGCGGUGAAAUGCGUAGAGAUCUGGAGGAAUACCGGUGGCGAAGGCGGCCCCUGGGACAAAGACUGACGCUCAGGUGCGAAAGCGUGGGGAGCAAACAGGGAUUAGAUACC